rnacentral:rRNA from 1 species
UACGAAGGGGGCUAGCGUUGCUCGGAAUCACUGGGCGUAAAGCGCACGUAGGCGGAUUGUUAAGUCAGGGGUGAAAUCCUGGAGCUCAACUCCAGAACUGCCUUUGAUACUGGCGAUCUCGAGUCCGGGAGAGGUGAGUGGAACUGCGAGUGUAGAGGUGAAAUUCGUAGAUAUUCGCAAGAACACCAGUGGCGAAGGCGGCUCACUGGCCCGGUACUGACGCUGAGGCACGAAAGCGUGAGGAGCAAACAGG